CCGGUCGGCUUCUCCAGCCGGUUGAUCAUUCGCAGCAGCGUCGAUUUUCCUGCGCCCGAACGGCCAAUCACGCCGACGAAGCAUCCCGGCUGAACCGAGAACGAGGCAUUGUCGACGGCCGUCUUCGCGCCAAACCGGCACGUUAAUCCGUCUACCUCAAGCAUGUNAACUCCGUCUCAGUAAGUUCAUUCCUCGCUAGCGUGGGUUUCCUACAGUUGUGUGACACAUCCGCCUGCGGCGGUUGCACUCCCCCGAAAUCGCGUAUGCUGUGACGAAAAGCCCUUGUCAUCCAAACUUCACGAUGCCGUCAUGAAACGUCAUGAAGAGAUGUUGACCUCACGUCCAAUGCACCGGCAUUCACCGGGAAAAAUCCGUAUCGAGAGUAGACAUUCGU
rnacentral:misc_RNA from 1 species